rnacentral:rRNA from 1 species
UACGUAGGGUGCAAGCGUUGUCCGGAUUUAUUGGGUUUAAAGGGUGCGUAGGCGGCCUUGUAAGUCAGUGGUGAAAUACUCCAGCUUAACUGGAGGGGUGCCAUUGAUACUGCAGGGCUUGAGUUAAGUUGAAGUUGGCGGAAUUGACGGUGUAGCGGUGAAAUGCUUAGAUAUGACAUAGAACACCAAUUGCGAAGGCAGCUGGCUACGCGAAUAUUGACACUGAUGCACGAAAGCGUGGGGAUCAAACAGG